UCAUCCGUGCAGGUGAUCGCACCUGGGCACCCUAAAACAUGUCAAGUUGUCACUGCCCUGCCCUGAGUUUCGCUUUGCUGCGGUGCUGCUGCUGCCCAUGUAGCAUCUCCUGAGCAAACUAGCUUGCCAAAAGUAUGGUUGUUUCACUCGAGGACGACUUUCUUUGAGGAUGUUAUUGCUGCUGCCACCGCUCAGCUACCCAGUUUUGUCUGCCAUUUGUCGUAAUCAACAGUGGGCCUAAAACAUUUAAAACUGUCCAGACGUUGGAGUUUUCUGUAGCUCCUGUGACAACUUAGCACCACAACUUCUCCCAAAGAGUGCAAGAUAGCCUACCUUCACUUCGCUAAGGUACUUCUGCAAGCUGUAAGCCGUUCACCACAACAGCUGUCAUGGCUAUAAUCUCCAUGGUUAGAGAUGGACAGAUAUCAUCUCCAAACUAGCUUUUCAAUUCACUCUGCACCUUCCAGGCUGGAAGGAGAAGCCUCUGCCUGUUUCCAGGAUGACCAGGUGCUCUGCACCGAAACGUUGCGGCUGUCCACCUUUUCAGAUGGAGCUGCUGCUUCGGAAUCUGUUGUACAACGUCAUCCCUGGUGCCCGAGCAGGUUGGUCACCCGCAUUCCCACUGCUGCUUCUUCAGGCCUCCAACAUUCAUAGUACCAAUACACACCAUAUCUGGAUACCUUGCUCUCUCCCCGCUAAAUCUGGUGCUUUGAGCUGUGGAGUAAAUGCUGCACAUCUCCGUCUGUUAGAAUUUUGUGGAAAUACAAAAUAUAAAUACACCUCUCCUUCUAGCUGUGCCCUCUUAAAUAUAAGGUCUCUGACUAAAAGCUUUUACCCUAAAUGACUUUAUCUCUACCAAUAAAUUGGACUUUCUCUUCUUAUCUGACACAUGGCUUAGAACUGGCGACAUAAGUGCUUUUUAGAAAUUAUGUUCCCCCAAUUAUACAUUCUUCAACUCCCCUAGUCUCAGUGGUAGGAGAGGUGGACUUGCAGUUGUCUUUAAAAAAAUAUUUAAACUGUGCCUUCAUCUCAGUGGAGAAACCUCCCAGCUUUGAAGUACUGAUGUUCAAAAUCAAACUUGAUGUCCCUGUGUGCAGUACUAUUAUUUAUCCUCCUCCUAAACCCAAUUGUAAUUUUUUUUAUUGUAAUUUUCAGAUUUGAUUUAUUCUAUUAUUCUUAGUUAUGAUUACAUUUUAUUGGUUGGUGGUUAUAAUAUUCAUGUUGAUCAUCCUGACAAUCCUUUUACAUCUGAAUUUUUAACUAUAUGUAAUAUAUGUAUGCAACAAUGUAAGUGAUAUGGUUGAUCAAUUUAAUACCAUGUGCUUGAGAACUCUGGACCAAACAGCAUGUAUGACAGCUAGGACAUGUCGUCCCUCCAACCCAAGGCCGUGGAUAAACAAAAAUAUUAAAAAGUAAAUACAAGAACUUUAAGUUCAUUGAUUCCAUAUGAGGGAGCUAUUAUAUUUAUUUAAUUCACUGUUAAAGAGUGAAAGACUUUCUUAUUUUUCCAAUCUAGUUGCCUCUAAAAAACAUAAUAUUUUAUAAAGUAUUUUGCUGAAUAUAAAGAAAAUAUCAAACCAUCAGUUACUCAUGCUAGCUCACUUAUACCCUCACCUGAGCUCUCACCCGCCACCACCCUUAGGGAUUUGGUAGAAAUUGUUUCCCACACUAAUCUCACUACUUGUAAAUUUUAUAUUCUCCCUUCGAAGUUAUUGAAGUUUUUGGAGUCCUCACAGUCUGGCUUCUUAGCAUUGUGAACAAGUUAUUCUGUCUGGUCUGGUCCAGGAUUAUUCUUAACAGGCCUCUAUCCAACCUCUCCUUAAGAAGCCUGGUUUAGACCCGAAACUCCCCCAUAACUACCGCCCAUAUCCAAAUCACCUUUAGUUUCAAAAAUUGUUAAAAAGGUAAUUGCUAAGCAACUUUUAGAGAUAAUGCAAGGAAACAAUAUAUUUGACAAAUUGUAAUCUGGCUUUAGAAGGAACUAUAGUACAGAAACAGCCCUACUCAGAGUAGCAACAUCCUAAUGAGUGCAGACUCUGGUAAUAUCACGAUUCUCAUUUUGCUGGACCUGAGUGUAGCCUUCAACAAACUCUGGAACUGGGUAGCCUAGGUAGAACUGCUCUCGACUGGUUUACAUCUUGUUUAUCAGAGUAUUCAAUGUCACUGUUGACAACUUUAGUUCUUCAACUGCUCUAAGGUCUUCAGGGGUCCCAGAGAGCUCAGUCAUUGGCUCUGUUUCGUUCAGUUUGUAUCUGUUGCCCCUUGCCAUUUCACUCCUGUGUCCGACCAUUGUUACUCUGAUGACUCCCUGUUGUAUGUCUUGUUUAGCCCUGAAAAUCUUAACAAUCUAGAUCUUGCUGCCAUUAAGGACUGGAUGACUACUAACUUCUUGCGACUGAAAACCGUCCUGGUUUUUGGUCCCGAUCAUAUUACUAACAGUGUUACAGUGUUACUUACAAAUUAGAAAUAUUGCUUAAGUCCAACCAAUGCUCCCAAAAAAUGAGUUGAACAACUUAUCCAUACCCUCAUUUCCUCCGGCUUAGACUACUGCAACUCAUUAUUUACUGGCCUUAACGAUUGGAGCAGUUGCCUGUUUACAGUUGGUGUAAAACACAGCAGCAAGACUUCUCACAAACACUCAAUGCAGGGAACAUGUUACUCCAGUCCUAGCUGAAUUACACUGGCUGUUAAAAGUUCCACGUUCCAGGCUUAAAAGAAGGGGUGGACUAUGCUUUUUCUGUUUUAGCUCCAGCAUUGUUGAACAAACUCCCUGUCACUAUCAGUGCAGGUGAUUCAGUGCCUUAGUUCAAAAAGCUUUUAAAAACCUACCUGCACAGAUUGGCAUUUUUUAUAAUAAUUAAUAAUGUCUACUCAGAUGUUUUAAACUUGUUCUUUUUUAUCUUUCUU